rnacentral:rRNA from 1 species
AUUGAACGCUGGCGGCAUGCCUUACACAUGCAAGUCGAACGGUAGAGGGGCAACCCUCGAGAGUGGCGAACGGGUGAGUAAUGCAUCGGAACGUGCCCAGUAGGGGGGGAUAGCCCGGCGAAAGCAGGAUUAAUACCGCAUACGACCUACGGGUGAAAGCGGGGGAUCGCAAGACCUCGCGCUAUUGGAGCGGCCGAUGUCAGAUUAGGUAGUUGGUGGGGUAAAAGCCUACCAAGCCGACGAUCUGUAGCUGGUCUGAGAGGACGACCAGCCACACUGGGACUGAGACACGGCCCAGACUCCUACGGGAGGCAGCAGUGGGGAAUUUUGGACAAUGGGCGCAAGCCUGAUCCAGCAAUGCCGCGUGCAGGAAGAAGGCCUUCGGGUUGUAAACUGCUUUUGUACGGAACGAAACGGUCUGGGUUAAUACCCUGGGCUAAUGACGGUACCGUAAGAAUAAGCACCGGCUAACUACGUGCCAGCAGCCGCGGUAAGAC